rnacentral:rRNA from 1 species
GACGAACGCUGGCGGCGUGCUUAACACAUGCAAGUCGAACGGAAAGGCCCUGCUUUUGUGGGUUGCUCGAGUGGCGAACGGGUGAGUAACACGUGAGUAACCUGCCCUUGACUUUGUGAUAACUUCAGGAAACUGGGGCUAAUACCGGAUAGGAGCUCCUGCUGCAUGGUGGGGGUUGGAAAGUUUCGGCUGUUGGGGAUGGACUCGCGGCUUAUCAGCUUGUUUGUGGGGUAGUUGCUUACCAAGGCUUUGACGGGUAGCCGGCCUGAGAGGGUGACCGGGCACCUUGGGACUGAGGUACGGACCAGAAGCCUACGGGCGGCAGCAGUGGGGAAUAUUGCACAAUGGGCGGAAGCCUGAUGCAGCAACGCCGGGUGCGGGAUGACGGCCUUCGGGUUGUAAACCGAUUUCGCCUGUGACGAAGCGUGCGUGACGGUAAUGGGUAAAGAAGCACCGGCUAACUACGUG